UCCAAAUAAAUAUUUAUAUAAUCAAUAAAUAUUUAAAUUACAAUUUAAAAUUUUGGAUCAUUACAUCCUUCCCUCCUUACAAGGAUUCUGUCCCCAGAUCACAAUUCAAACAAUCAAAUCGUCACACCCUACCUUCAUCCGAUGCAUACACCCGGUUUGACAAAUCCCUCUUAUAACAAUGGAUUCUAUACAUAAUUAAGAACAAACAUAUAAGAAUAAAACAAUCAAAGCAGAACAAACAAAUCCCAGAAAUUGGUAGUAGCAACCAAGAAAAUACCUUCUGGGAAUAUCAAAACGUUCAUAAGAAACCUGUAAUCACAAUUUUUCAGUUGGGAUCCCCUAUAUUAUAUAUAUUCCCUACGAAUUAUAUAUACCAAGGAAAUAAUAUUGAAAAGUGUGGUCACAAAUCACAAUACUACAUUUAAAAAACCCUUCCAACAACCAUUCCGCAAUAAUACCCUGCGCACAGAGAUGAUAAAAUUAGAAGGUAGCCAAUUUAUAUGGUGGCACAACCCGGUAAGAGUUUGAAAAAUGACACACGCACACACACACAACUGAAUUAAUGUUAAGAGAUUAACAAAUAAAAAAUUUCACCUUGCAGUCUGUAGCAAAUAAAAAUUACAUCCACUAAGAAUUAGUCGGUAUUAAAGUUCAUACUGAAAAAGCAUACAUAAAAAUAGCUUCUUAGACUAAUAUCUGUCUAUAUAUAGUAUUGGAAGUUUUCUCUCUCUAUAUGUAUGGAUAUCCCAUGGAGGAUAAAAUUAAUAAAUUUAGUACCUCGAUCAGAAAGUCAAAUCAAAUUCUUUCCUUUUGAUGAUUAUAGCCUCUCGUUCUUCAUGUAUUUAAUUUGGUAGAUGCUUCGAUUCCUAGCAAUACCGCACAGAAGAACAUAAAUCUCCCUCUAUAUCUCUCUAUACUAUGAAAAAACAAUAAUAUCAAAAUUUACUUGACAGAUUUAUGAUGAUUCAAUAUUUACUACAGGAACCGAGACAAAGAUCAUAUACUAUAUCAAAAGGCACAAGAAACAUAUAUGACGAAUAACAUGCAGAACUCUAGACAAACAGUACGUACUUAUAUCUUCAAGUAAGAGUAAAAGAGUCGGAAGCUUACCUUCAAACUUGAAAUAAGAGCAAUUAAGUUUUUUUUCCUUUGCCUUCUCCUGUAAAAUAAAUGGCCCCAAUGGAGAAUUCUCCUUUCCUUUUGUAUUUAAGUUAAUUCGUUAUACUGAAUUAAUUCUUGCGAUAACUUGUCCUCCUAGCUCAAACCCUUUUCCUAUUGUGGCAUCUCUCUCUUUAUAUAUCUAUCCUUGCAAUAAUUAAUAAGCGUGUUUCCAUAGAAAAACAUUGAAAUAGUUGAUUUGUUAGAACUAAUAUUGUUAAUACUAACUUAUUUAUAAUUAGAGGUCUAAUUAAGUAGUUUAAGAAAUAGAGAGAACUAUAAUAGUAGUAAUAUGACUAGUUUGUCCUCAUAUCAUAUCAUACUACAAUAAUUCGUAGGAUAUAUAUAUAUAUAUAUAUAUAUAUAUAUAUAUAUAACAUGCUUUGAGUUGAACUAAUUUUUCAGUUUAGCAAACAUCAUGCAUCCAUGAUGCCUAGACAAAGAUCAAUAAAUAUCUUGAGCAAUAAAGGUUAAUUUUUUAUAAAUAAUAAUAAUAAUUUAAUUUUUUUCAAAAAAAAAUUGCUCAACACCUGCAUACUAAUAUAGAGAUAUCUCAAGUUCAAAUAGAGAACCAACAAAAGCAACACUUACAUUUUAGCAGAAGAAUCAUGAUUUGAAUCUUCAUCUGCUCCCUGCAGUCAAGAAGCAAUAUCUCUAAGAAUACAGAAAAUGAAACAAAUAGGAAACAACAAAUAGGAAGCAAUGUAUGCUCAGCCACUAGCUUACCCGCAUGGUUCUAUCAUUGACAAACCCCCACUUUUCUUUCUGAAGAGCUAGUAUUUCUUCAUUGCCAUCAGUAUAUAAUACCUAUUACAGAUACCAAAAAUUGUAUAAAAUUCAUUAGCACUUCAAGACAAAUUAAGAACGCUGCACUUACAUAUCAGUAAUACCCAAAUAACUAUCUAAACCGAAUGGGUACCUUAUGCUUCUUCUUGUGAGGAUCAAAGGAAACAACUUCAAAUACAGAAUUUGCACUCCGACACCCUUCUAAAAUUAGUCCUAGUAGUUUUUUUGAAACAAAAGAAGCCCAUAGAUUGUAUCGAAUUAAGUUACCCCAAAAUCAAAUAUAGAAUUUACACAUUAUUAUCUGGAGAGAUUAAAAUUAAUGCCCUAAAUAAACUUACUCACCACUUCAUAGCAGAUAAAAAAAUAGUGUUCAAAAGAUGUUAAUAGAAAAUAGGGCAGGUCAUUGUUUAAGGACUCAUUCAGAAUACCCUUCAUUGUAUUAAGGUCAAAAGGACAUACCUUUUUAUAAAACCUUACAUGCAUAAAAUUGUGCCUACGUAUCUUACUCAAGAAUUGAAACUUAGUAGGCAAAUAGCACAAUGGACAGAUUUUACUUAAAGUCUAAACAGUUAAUCACUGAGUCAUCAAGAGGAAAGAUAUAGUGAUUAAUCUUUGGGAAAUUUAGCAUACAAGGGUCAAGGUCAAACGCUUCAAGCAAAAUAGUCUGAUCUAACACUAUUUUCCUACCUUACACAUAAGUAGCUAUACUAUGCAAAGUGCCAACAUCUUUUAUAAAUUCCAUAUGAUCAUAAAACUCACUAACUAAAUCCAGAUAAACACACCUACUUGAAAAAGAAAUUAGAUAAACACAACCAAUUUUCUUCAAAUUGACAAGCAAAUCAGGAUGAGAAUGAAAAAUAAUAGUAGGCCCAGUCAUGAAAUUAUACUUCAUUGCAUUAUACUUUAACUGAGCAAAUUCAGUUAGCAUGUUGGGAUCAAUUAAUGGUGUUGACAUUUUGGUUCUUUUAGAAGAAGAAGGGACAGAAAAAAAAGUGGGUUCAUAGGGAAUUAUAGCUGAUAUGGUAGAAGAUAUAAUGGUAGUAUACUAGCAUUUUUAAGCAGAUAGAUAUAUUUAUACACAAGUUCAUAUAGGAGUGGUCAUGUCAAAGUAAGGCUUUACCCAAGCAUGCAUUUCAGAAGAGAAGAGUAGGCAUGACAUAAUCCUUGAUCUGAUUUUUAGAAAUAAUUUUAAACAUUAUUCACAUAGUUCAUACAUAAUGUGUCAAUUAAAUCGAAUUUGAACAAGAAAAAUCAUAAUCAACCAUACAAACAAAUGAUAGUCGAAACAUUAAAUUUUGUCGCAUAUUUAACAUUUUGAACACACAUCUUGUUUCAAACAGAGUUUGGUUCAAAUACUAAAAUGAAAUUUUUAUACCUAGAUUACACAACAAAAGUAUCAAUUCAAAUAAAUACUAAAUAAAAGAUAUUAAAUAAUGAUCAUAACUUAAAACUCAAGAGUGAUAAAUCAAACACAAAUGAACAUAAACAUAUCUAAAAUACAAAACAAAGUCUCAACUAAAUUAGUAAAAUAAAAUUUAUGACACUUAAUUCACAAGAAGCAUAAAUCUAGAAGGUGUUGCUUCUUGCCAAUUUAAAGAUUUGUUUCAAACUAAUGAAUCAAACACUUUGAGCAUACAUUAAAAAGGCUCAUACAUACUCCUUAUAAUCUCAAAAAUGACAGACUAAAAGUUACCAUCCCUUAACCCAGUUAAGAGUAAAGAUCAUCAAAUUACCAGAAGAUGAAACUAUAUUGAUAAAUGACCCACAAAAAUGAGAGAAAAUCAAAAACCUAUAAUUACUGGAAAUCAUGAUUAACAAGGCUAUAUAUUCCAAAUUUCCAAUAGAAAACAGAGGUUGUCCACAACAAAAAAAUAAAAAUAAAGUCCCCAAAUCCAAUCUUCAUUUGUGUACAUACACGCAAUUAUUUUGCGAUGAAAAUCCAAUCACGACAAACAUCAAGAAAUCAGAGCAACUAAGAAAGACACAUAUUUAGUUUAUAAUCACCGAGAAUUGUAUAUAAAAUUAUAAAUUUCUAGAUAAAUAUAAAUAUAAUUAAAUACCUGGUGUGGUCCUUGGAAGAGGUUGUGGUGGAAAAAUUAAGGCGAUGAUGAGCAGAAAUAUCUGCAGUGUUGAGAAUAAUGGAAACAUCAUCAUCCUCCUCGGGAACUAGGGUAGGGGCAAAAAGGUUGGGGCGGUAGGCUCGCCACUCGCGAUUGGGCUGGGGAAGAGUAAUACGCAACUGGGCUGGAGAAGGGGUAGGCCACGAGUCGCGACUGGUUGCGUUAGGGGUGCCUAUUGGCGGUGAGUUGUGAGAGAGAUGAUGGCAGAUUUGGGCGCAACGGCAGUUAGGAGUAGAAGCAAAACUGAAGGGCUCAGGCUGAAGGCUGAAGGCGUACACAACUCCUGAUUAUAAUAGGAACUCGUUU
rnacentral:lncRNA from 1 species